CUGCAGCUGAGAGCGACUGCAGGUGCUGAGUUGGAGGAUGUGAUACGACACAAUGACACUCUGUAGAAGAGAGGAACCACACCACACUAACUCACAACUCACAUCAGAAAUCUCUCAAUAAUCAUAAUACCACAGUACACAGAGUUCACCAUGGCCACUACUCACACACUUCAGCCCUGCUCUAGAUUCUCCCUCAGUCACUGGUGUAACUCCUCCUGUUCUUACAGACUCUCUCUCCUGAGAUUUGGGAAUUAAACUGGUUUUCCUUCUCUCCACUCCCAGAUAAGAAAAUAAAAAAAGCUCCUUCACUUCACAGAGCUAAGUGACAACAUAGGAUAUAUAUCUCAUGUCCUGGUUCUCUGCUUUCUCACACACACACACACACCUGUCCUGUCUCAUUUUAAUAUUUCGGUUAUUGAAUUCAAUAUAAACUUUAUAUUAUUACCCAUCUGUCACUGCCCUUAGCCAUUGGACUCAUUUUCUCUCUUUUUAUUGUGUAACCCCCUUCAGUCAAGACUCCAGUCCUCCUGACUCCUCUCUCUCUUUAGAACUCUUAUAUCCGAAGAUUUAACAACUCUCCUCUAAAACACAAUAAUGUGAACUACUUGGACAUGGUCAUCCAUCCUUUACCAGCAAGAGCAUCCGGUGUUUCUGCAUGAAUCUCAGUAAGUUUGGCAGACAUCUCAUCAUGGAUGGCAGCUCUUUAUCCUCAGCUGAAACUAAAUCUCAGCAAGUCUGUUCUGCUGUAUAUCACUAGAGAUGCAUCACUAUGAUGGAUUUGGUGAUUGUUGAGGAGAACUAUUGUGUAACAACAUCUGACAGAACAAUGAAACUUCGGGUAGUUUUAUAAAACUAGCUAACAUUCUCUCCUCAUAUCUCAUCACAUCUUUUUUUAAUUGUCUUGGCCAAAAACUGAACAUCUGCAUCACUAUCAGGCUUCACAUCAAGAACUUUAUUCAGUCACCAAGCGCUAAAAUAAACACUAAUAAAAAAACUUCAUUUUGUGCUAUUGUUUUCUUUCUGCACUAAUAUUAACUCCUCUCUAAUAGGAAUUUAGCUUCAUAAUAUUUUAUUAGUUUAUGAGGAUGUGUUUUAUUGUAGACCACCAAAGCACAUGUACGUCUGUAAGUCACUCUGGAUAAGGGGAUGUGUCCAGUGCUGUAGAUGUAAGUAUACUUAAAAGACAGUGCAAUACUACUUCUUGUCCUGUGGUUCAGGUCUCGCUGAUGUUUGAUGGUUUAUUGCGUCAGGAAUCAUGUAGCAUUAAGGUGUUGUUUUAAUGUGAUCUGAUUUCUCCAGCUAAUGGCCCUGUUUUAUACGUGACCUCUGACCACUUUUUUCUUUUGCUGUCUUUAUAGAAGUUUUAUUAUCAGUUUGUCUCAUCUGUGUCUUGUUAUCGUGUCAUCCUGGUGCACUUUGCUGCUAUUCUGUUCACUCUGUAAGAGAAGAUAUACUGUAGAUUAAUUCAAUUCAAUUUCAUUUAUAUAGC